rnacentral:rRNA from 1 species
CACGUAGGGUGCGAGCGUUGUCCGGAAUUAUUGGGCGUAAAGAGCUCGUAGGCGGUGUGUCGCGUCGGCCGUGAAAACCUGCAGCUUAACUGUGGCGUGCGGUCGAUACGGGCAUCACUGGAGUUCGGCAGGGGAGACUGGAAUUCCUGGUGUAGCGGUGAAAUGCGCAGAUAUCAGGAGGAACACCGGUGGCGAAGGCGGGUCUCUGG